UCCUUCCCUUUUCCCCCACCACACCCCCACCUUCUUUUCCCCAGCUUGCCGCCGCUGUCCCCCAUCCACCCAAUAAACCACGAACAGUCGUUCAUAUUUUGGUCUCGGCUCUGCGUUUAUUGUUGGAAUCUGCGGGCGGAGGUCGCGGGUCGGGUUACCGGGGGAGGGGGAAGGGGGGAGGGGAGAAGCG
rnacentral:misc_RNA from 1 species